rnacentral:lncRNA from 1 species
GGAUACACUCAAGUUGCUGUAGAAUUCUUUUUGUAGCUUCAAUCUAGUUUUUAGCUGUAGAAGGAUCAGCUCCUUUUAAACCCAGAAAUUCAGUUGCACCAUAUUUACGUAAUGCUUUAAUUGGAGCUCAACGGACAGUAGGGGUAGAUGUCGUAGCAGACGUAGUUCCUACUACCCGUUGAAGCGCAUCAACUAUAGCUCUAAGUAAUUGUGAAUCAUCCCUUUCUCUAACAUUACCUCGUUCAACAUUAG